CCUACGGGUGGCAGCAGUGGGGGAUUUUGCACAAUGGGGGGAACCCUGAUGCAGCGACGCCGCGUGGGUGAAGGAGCGUUUCGGCGCGUAAAGCCCUAUCGGCAGGGAAGAAGAUGACGGUACCUGGCCAAGAAGCCCCGGCUAACUACGUGCCAGCAGCCGCGGUAAUACGUAGGGGGCAAGCGUUAUCCGGAUUUACUGGGUGUAAAGGGAGCGUAGGCGGCGAUGCAAGUCAGAAGUGAAAGCCCGGGGCUCAACUCCGGGACUGCUUUUGAAACUGUAUGGCUAGAUUGCAGGAGAGGCAAGUGGAAUUCCUAGUGUAGCGGUGAAAUGCGUAGAUAUUAGGAGGAACACCAGUGGCGAAGGCGGCUUGCUGGACUGUAAAUGACGCUGAGGCUCGAAAGCGUGGGGAGCAAACAGGAUUAGAUACCCGUGUAGUC
rnacentral:rRNA from 1 species